AUGCCAGAAUUUGGCAGAAGAGCAAGGCUGGGUCCUCUCCAGCAUCCCACAGCUCUUCCCUGCAAGGGGAAUUUCCAGAUGAUUCUCAUUUUAUACAAGAAAGCAAUUCAAUCCAAAAUAACGCUGGGUUGUUCUCUGCUCACAUGCAUCCUACAAGCUUUCAUUCUUUGCAGAGAAAUGAAGAUGACCGCAGGGCAGGAAAAAUACAACUGCAGUGCUGGAGUCUCAGCUAAGGUGGGGAAUCUGUCAGAUGGGAAAUGUGACUGCACUGACAGACAAGCCUGUGAACCUGCUUGGUGAAGGCGCUUUAUAAACUCCUGCUAGAGAGGCAGAGGAUUUAAUAAAUUAAAGGAGGCAAGAAUGAAGAGGCGAGUC
rnacentral:lncRNA from 1 species